GGGUACCUUCAAGAUGCACAGCUCUUAACCACACACCCUUAGUCCCCGUCGACGGGGNUUUACACACCAAGAUGCUUCUUCACCCACGCGGCGUUGCUGCGUCAGGGUUUCCCCCCAUUGCGCAAAAUUCCCC
rnacentral:rRNA from 1 species